rnacentral:rRNA from 1 species
UAGGGAAUAUUGGGCAAUGGAGGAAACUCUGACCCAGCCAUGCCGCGUGAAGGAUGAAGGUCCUACGGAUUGUAAACUUCUUUUAUUAGGGAAGAAACCCUCGCAUUCAUGCGAGGCUGACGGUACCUAAGGAAUAAGCACCGGCUAACUCCGUGCCAGCAGCCGCGGUAAUACGGAGGGUGCAAGCGUUAUCCGGAUUCACUGGGUUUAAAGGGAGCGUAGGCGGAACGAUAAGUCAGUGGUGAAAGCCCCGAGCUCAACUUGGGAAUUGCCAUUGAUACUGUUGUUCUUGAGUUCGGUUGAGGUAGGCGGAAUGUUACAUGUAGCGGUGAAAUGCUUAGAUAUGUAACAGAACACCGAUUGCGAAGGCAGCUUACCAAGCCGACACUGACGCUGAGGCUCGAAAGCGUGGGGAUCAAACAG